GCAUGCGCAGCGCCGGGCCCGGGGCCGUGGGGCCGCUCGCUGCCCGCCCGGCGGGGUGGCGGUAGCCCGGUCUCGGCGGGAUCGUGCUGUCCCCUACGAGAGCGGAGCACGCAGGCCCCGCUCCGCGAGCGGGAGGGAAGCUACCCGCAAACCAAAGGGGACGGAGCUGGCGGAGAGCCAAUAACAAGCACUUCAUGAAUGCUGGCAACAUCCCAGAAACAUUGUAGAGGAUGGCUGAGAUUUGAAUUCUGAAUGCCAGAUCCCUUGAUGUUGAACACACGACCACAACACAGAUGACAUUCCCGACUGGAACAGAUACAACUGCAAUGUGAAUGGAGAACUAUUCUCAAAUGACUGCAAGCACGCAAUGCUGAUGAAGAAGUGUCCUUAGCCACCCCUUCUCUCCCUGCAGUAAAUUCACCCCGUGUAUGCAGCAUGCAGGAGUGCAAAGCUACUGCUGCGCUGACGUGGCUCAAACCUGUGUUGCCGUAACUAGGCUGGUAUAUUUGUGGGUGCUAGAACGUAUGCCUAAGUAGCUAGAAAAUUCUUGGCUGUUGAGACACAGUCCUGUUUCACCUGAUACAGCAUCACUGCAGGGUAGGUUAUGACAGAAGGCAAAGAUCACCGCAAUCUAUAGAAAUGACACUGAUAGUCUGGUAAAUAUAACAGGAGCUUCGUCAGAAAAACUGAGCUACGUGGUGACAAAAGUAAUCAACUGCUAUGCCCUGUGGUACUAAAAUGUUAGUUCAGAGGCUCCCUUUCCCAUCCAGCUCAGUUUGCCCUUCAAGCAAAUGAACAGGCUAAUAAAAUGUUUUCUUAAAUGUUUAAGAAUCUUAUUUUUCCUGUAAGAUUCAGUGCUCCACUGAAUUGUUAUAUAACAAUACUUAAAUGCAGUCAUUUCUCGUUAAGCAUAAUGUGCUUAACAUUACGCUUACUGUGAAGUCACGUCAAAAGACAAAACCACAUGACCAUGAAACAAAACUCUUGUGACUCCUGUGAUUUUUAGGAAAUUAUGUUUGGCAGAACCUUUAGUUCUUCCAAGGUUUGUUACAAAGUCAAAAGCAAAAAUUAAAAAUACCAAGCUCCAAAAACAUACAGCUCCACAUGCCUGAAGGUCCACUUUCAGUGUCUUUUAAGAGUGCUAGGCCAAGUUGCAACAGGGAUUCACUUUCUGCUAGAACUCCAAUCCCCUCAAGAGCAUUAGGCUUAGUGCCAGCAUUCAUUUACUUUUGUAACAGCUUAAAUUGACUCCUGUUAGAUUCAGUCCAAACUCUUUCUCACUAUUUCAGCUAGAAUAAGAGUUGAUGGAUGCAUUCAGUCAUCCAAUCUGAGGGCCACCCAUCAUGCUUGUCUGUCUUCAGGGACUCCAAAUGCUGUGUAUACUGGACUGGGAAGGCAAUACUCAGCCAUUUCAACAAGAGAGACCACCAUUUUGACUCAGAGGACCUGAGGUCAGUCUGGAGCGUCCCACUCCAUAAUCCCUGAGAAGCUCUAGGAAGCUGUGCAGCAGUGGAGGAUUGAGGACCAGCAGGACUGUCUGUGGUUUGAUCUUACUCCAAAUCUACCCAUGACAGCUGUCUGUUACACCUGGUAACAUCCUGGUACCCAAAAGAGCCCACUACUCUUACCAGAUCUGGAUGGACAAAGUAGAAGGCAAGUUUGAGGAAUGAAUAUUGCAUUAUUAUAUUGAAUAAAUUGUGGGUUAGCAGUUGUUGCUACAGACUAAGUAGGGUCUAAAUGACUUAAUGCCCAUGCAAACUGCGUCUGUUUUCUUACCCUCCUUGUAGUCCACUCUACUCCUUAUUCUCUUUUUAUAUAUUCUCUGUUUUAUUAUAAGUCAUAUUGUAUGCAUUUAGCAACUAGGUUUACUUGCUGAUUGCCAGAAACUCAACUACCACUAGUAGCUGGGGUGGUACCAGAGUCCCUGCAGCAAGAGCAACAGGGGACUGCAGUGCUCUGAAGGGUUAGAGUACCUCAGCAAGAACUAAGUAUUACAGCAUCUGUGGAGGGUCACUAGAGGUUGAUUGCCUUCUUUUGGUACCGUGAAGCGCAGUAGACUGUAAUGACUUGUCUAAGAUCUUAAAGCAAGGCAGUGACAGAGCUGGAAAUAAUCCCUGAGGGCAAAAGUUAUUUGUAAUGUAUUUUCUGCAAACACUGCAUUGCUUGGAUGGUUUCCAGGUGAUUAUUGCAAAUAAGGAGAAGAAAUAAAAUCUCUGCAUUACUAAACUUUUGGGGUCCACGUGAUUUUAAAUCCAAGGAUGUCUGUGUCUGUCUUAUGCUACUGCUUGUCCACUGUCUUACAUCCACCUUACAUGUAAUAGUUAAAUUUUCCUAGCCAUAGCUCCACUGAUUCUAAUUUGUUGUAAUUUGCAUUCUGAAGAGACAGGACAGACGAUGGCAAGAACACAUAAGGAAACAAUGGCUAAAGCAUGAUACAGAAGAAGCAGGGAAAAUUACUUCACAUAGAUUUUGGUAAGGCUUCUGACUCUGUUCCCUGUUGUUUUUUGUAACUAACUAAAGAAGUAUAGCCUAGAUGAAAUCACUAGAAGGUAAGGAUGGAUGAAGGCAACUGAUCAAAAAAUACUGCAUUGGAAAAGUGGUUAUUGGUGGCUUACAGUCAAUUUGAGAUGGCAUUUCAUGUAGGCUUUAGGAAUUCGGGGACAGUUCUCUUCAGUGUGAUAGGGGGAGUGACUAGACUAUAGGCUUAUAAAUUUCAAAAUUUAUGUCAAGCUGGAAGAAGUUGGAAAUACACUGGAAAAAGGAAUCAUAAUAGUGAAAUGAUCCUCCCAAGUUGCAGACAUGGCUUAAAAUCAACAAGUGCAAUAAAUACAGGUUCUUAAUGCUGAUAAAGGAGGCAUCAAUUGCACAAAAGCAAGACAGACAGCCCCCCUGAUGGGACAGCAAGACUGUAAAGAUAACUACAUAGAUCUGAAGAAACUUACAAAUGAAAUGAGAUCCAUAAAUGUGAUCAUGUGACCUAAAGACAGUUCCCAUGUAUGAUACCUACUGUCAGAGAUAGAAAGAUAGAAUACUCCACUACAAAUGAUAGAUCAGGUUGGAAGGUACCUUGAAAGACCAUCUGGUUCAGGCUUUUGUAGGAAGGGAAGCCUAGAGGACAUGCUUUCCAGAUGCCUGAACUGGUUUACUGUAUCCAGUUUGAGACAUGAAGCUUUAAAUAAUAUAAAUACAUAGAAGUGACUUAAGCAAAGUGCAACAGUGUAAGACCAGAGGAAAAACUGCAAUUUAUUUUAGUCUAGACAGUGAAAAAUAGAGUAAGGGCUGACCUCUCCCAGUAUGGAAAAGACUUUUCUAAGAAUAAUAGUGAUCAGUUGUUCUUCAGCAGCCAUUUAGAGAAAAACAAGGAGAAUCAUCUUAAUUUCCAGAUUAGAAAAAUCUUUUGUGUUACAAAUAUAGGGAAAGAGUGGAACAAGCUAUGUAGAGGUCUGCAGAAUUCAUGGGAAAAUUUUUUCUGGACAAAUUAAGUAACUAUCUCUUGGGGCUGUUCUUUACAUACUUCAUUCUGCACCACUGCUGUAGUUUGAGAACUGAUCUCUUGAGAUCCCUCCAGCUCUAAAUUUCUGUGAUUCUAUGAAGUCUGUACAUAGAUGUACAAAUGAUACAAAAUGGAUCUUCAAAGAUUUCUUCUUCUAUGAAAAUGGGAUGGGAAAAUUCUGGAUUAUAGAGUCUAGCCCUUAGUUUAAUUUCUUCUAUAGAAGUAAGGUUAUUAUAAUAUUAAUUGGGGUUUUUUGUUGCUAGAUACAGUUGUGAGGUUUUUUUAUUUAUUUUAAGCUUUCUAUCUAAAUGGCAUAAAUAAAAAGUUGCUCAUACUAGAUGUAUUGUAAGUAAUUCUAAAAGCGAUGCAGCUUUGUUCAGGUGAUUGAGUUCUGGGCCAGAUAGCAAGAAUUCCAUUAUUUGUACUUUACAUUUCCACUGGUUUCUCCAAGUCCUUUAAUGUGUCAUUAAAGUCAUCUGCCCUGCCGCCUUCUAUGAAUCCUGGAGUUACAAUAUUGAUACUGUACAAUACACAACCCUGUUGUAAUAUAGAUAAUAAUAUUAUGUGUUCAGUUUAUGAAUACCAAGUAAGGGCUUCCUGUAAGCCACAUCUUUCAUUCUAGCAAAUCAGAAAAAUGGUAAGAUGUUUACUCACAAAAGGUAUCUUGCCUGGUUUCUCUAUACUUGGCAGUUAUGGAAGUAGAAAUUACUUCUAUUGUUUUACACAAAAACAGAGAUUUGGCAAGAGAAAGUUAAAUGUAAUUUGGAACACUUUGUAGUCUUCAGUCAGCCACAUUUUCCCUGCCACCCAAAUUAUUUAAAAUUGUAAGUAGUUUUGCAAAGCUGUUAGCAUUAUUUUCUCAGCUCACCCAAUUUUUUUUUUGCAAGACAUUAUCUAUGAUGAAUCAGAACAUCUUUUAUUAAUAUAGUUAUAAGAGCAUUAAAGCUGUCAGGUAUAAUCUGCAGCUUUUUCUCCUUUAGAUUCAGCACUCUCUGAAAAAAAACCUAAUUUAAUAACUAGGGAAUCUAAGUUACAAUCAAAUUUAUUAUAUUUACCAGACUUGAAUUUCAGAUGAGAUAACAUUAAAUUGUACUUGAAGGGAAAAGAGCAGAACUGCCAGUGGGCAUUGAAUUAGCAGCCUGAAAAAUGUCUUAAUAAUGUUGUGAUCAAGAGUGUUAUGAUGAUGAGAGAAGGAUGAAGAGGAAUUCUGUUUUGUCUUUCUCUGUAUCUUUUACAUGUUGUCCAAACUGAAAUGAAGGCUAUAACCUCAGUCCAAAGCCUCAGUUGAGGGGAAAGAGUGUCCUCUUUUUAGAUUUUUGUGUGACUUCCAGUAUGCCUUUAUAACCUAGCACUGCAACUCUGCCUACAAAUCUCUGAAUUACUGCUAGAGAAGUAGAUGCUUUUGUUUAUGUGCAUAUAUGAGCACUUGCCACUGUAUGCUGCGUUCCAGAUGCAAUCCUGUGAGUUCUGCAUCCACAGGAUUUCUGCUGAAGGUUUGUGAAAGGCUUCUGGACCAAGGUUUUCAUGUCAGAAAGAGCUCAAUAAAAGGCCUGUUCAAAAAUAAACAAACAAAACCCCAACAAAAAGCAGUCUUUUCCUGUUGUUGACAUUACUCUCCUCUGAGUCUGAGUCCCCCAACCCUCUUAAUCAAGUCUGUGACACAGAUCAUCUUUUAUUUACAGAUACAUGUUAAAAUGGCCUGGUAUUUUGUGAUCACAUUAGUUGCAUUUGUACUGUGGAGAUUUUUACUUCCCAAAGGUGCUGCUAGCUUUUGUGUACACAAUUUAAGCUUCAGCAGAGUUUUUGUUUUUCCCAAGGACUUCUAAUGACUUUCAGAUAUUUAAAAUCUGAAUUGUUUUUGAUUUGUCAUCAGUUAAAGAAUGGGCUGACCUAAAUCUGGCAAAAGGGUUAAAGAAGAAUGAAAAAGCAGUAUUCCAGACAGCCAGGAUAUCAUAAAUAUUCCUUUCCUAAAGGUACAUUGCCACCUAGCAAACACUGAGAACAAUGGUCACACAAAUAGAGAAAAGAAAUUUCAAAAGGCCUGUCAAAAAAAAAAAUGCUUAAUUAUGAAAAGCUUAAUUGAAGAAAGAGCUUGAGGCUUGAGCAUUUGUACUGAGCUCUUUGCACGAAGGGGACUGUUGCUGUAUGGACGUGGCACACCAUCAGCAGGACGGAGUAAGUCAACCAUUCAGCUGGCUCUGCAGUAGCUCUAACCCUCCACAGCUGAGAAUGUUCACAUCAGGAAGGGGGGACAGAAGAUGAUGAUACAUUAACGCCUUCUGGUACCCCAGAAGAUGUGUGUGCUACAGUGCAGAGCCCUUGGUGCCAAAGGUAACUGGCAAAGGGGUUAUGGCACAGGGGCCACAGCAGGUACAAAGAUACAGGGUCUUGCUCUGUAAUUCUACAUUCUUUUAGUCUGUUUACACACAUAUGGCUUUGAGGAAUCUCUUGGUUUGAGGAUGACAAAUUUGGUAAGAAAAGUGGAAGAGGAUCAGAUUGUUACACAAGAGGAACUACAUGAGCUUUAAGUUGAAGGGUAAGAACAAGUUGAAAUGUCCUAAUACCCAGUGCAAGGUCAUUGGGUGUUAUUAUUAAAGGCAAAGUUCUAGAAUUUCUGCUCUAAAUGCUUAGUGAUUAAGAGCUUGAGGGUUCCAUACAUUAGUAUUUCUUGCUCCAGUCAUCAGCCACACCAAAGCAUGACUAAGAUGAAAGGCAAGGCUGGGGUGGAGUGUGGAGCUGAUGAGAUAGCUCCAUACUGGGAGCAGAAUGGAGAUGAAAUCAGAAAUGACUGAAUUGGUUAGAUUGCACCUUCCUGAAAAGGGAACAAAGCAAAGAAGGGUAAGAACCUUUCAAUAAUUAUAAGAAAUCAGAGGGGAAAAACAAAACCCGGAAGACAAGAUGUGAAAACAGCUCACAUGACUUUGCAAUCUCAUAGUUUAUACUGUCAGCAAAAAGAGAUAGGGUGGAUUUCUGCAGACUCAACAGUAAUUGCCAUGUGGCAGCAGUUAGUACUAUUGAAAUGCUGGAACUGAUGGGAACCAACUAGGCUGUAGUGACUGGGAACAGAUGUCCUCAGAAGAGCAUGAGACAGCAUUCCGCAGUGUGAGAGAAAUCCUUGGCUGUCGGUCUAAACUGAUGAUGGGUUUGUGGACUGGGACAUGUGUCUCUCAUGAGAUAGGAAUUUUAGCUUUUCCCUUCUUUUGUGUCAAUAGAUACCCAGUCUGGUCCUCAGUGAAGCUGGAAUAGUCUUUUUUGUAAAUGCAGCCUAAUGGAUAUUAAUUUGCAGUGGUUACAUGUGUUCUAAAUACCAGCAUUAUGACCAGCAAGGGGUGCCUGCAUUUGUGAAUGUAUUCAAGAAGGAGAGCAAUGUCAGGAACAGUUCCUCUCCAGCUCAGUGUGAAUUUGUGUUUUGUCAUGAUCUAGGCAAAACUGACCUUUAAUUGAGCUGUUUAUAUUCCCCCUUGGAGUAAGACUGGUUAAGCUCGUGCAGUUCUGUACCACUGAGCAGUUGCAACUGGAGCCACUUGUGUGAAGCUUACCUCAGAAGGUUUGAGGUUGCUGCCUAAUAUCUGCCCAGUGAACAGAAGUAGGAUUUGAAUUAGCAGCUUGCCAAAGGUGGCUGAAGUUGUGAGGGUCAAAGCACCCACAUUCAGCCCUGGUCAGGGAGCAGCCCUGAACAUGCAGUAGCUGUGAGCUUUUAUGCCCAUGCUGCCUAUCUCAAAUAAGGGGGGAGGAGGCAGACUGCUCUGUGUUUAAUGGGGAAGGGAGUAAAGACUGUGAUAUCUGUGCUUAAAUGCUGUUCAAAAGAUGCAAUAAAAAGUGAUUUUACAACGUGUUACUCAAAAGUAAUUUAUCUCUGGGCUAUUCUUGAACGAAAUUGCUAGGAAGGUCAGGCUGGAAGGCAAGUUACAGGCAGAAUUUGGUAUUAAACUAAUGUUCCUGUGACUCAUGGUAUAUAUUGCGUACAAGCUUGCUGCUGUCUUGUUGCCUGUGCCAGCUUUUCUUCUCAGUUUGCUUAAGAAUAAUCAUGGGAAUAAAAAUGUACCAUGAAUAAAGAAGUACCAUGCUUAUCAGCCUUCUUGGCAGCUUAUGUCUGUUCUCCAUAACCUGGCAGGACUACCCUAGUGAUACCCAAAUACUCUAAAGCAAAGAUCAUAGCUGUAUAUCCUAUGAAAUAAGAAACCUUAGUGAUUUCUGUGUAUUCUGUGCAAUAGGAAACAUUUAGUGAUUUGGACUUGGUUGACAUAAUUUGCAGAAGGCUAAGGAGGUAUGAAUGAUGUAAAGCAAGUAUGUUAACUUCACAUGAAAAAGAUGCCAUAGAUUAGUGAAAGUGUAAUCUCACUACAGAAAGAUGAGGCGAGGAAUUUAAAACAGCAGGAGCUUGAAAUCGGGCACUGAAAUCCUUAUCCUUAUGUAGGACAUAAGUAAAUAGUUAAAGACAUUGGGGAGUCACCGCAACCCUAUGCGAUGGAUGCAGGCUUGGGGAAGAGUGGCUGGGAACUGCCCAGUGGGAAAGGGCCUGGGGGUGCUGGCUGACAGCCGGCUGGGCAUGAGCCCCCAGUGUGCCCAGGUGGCCAAGGGGCCAGCAGCGUCCUGGCUGGUGUCAGAAACAGUGUGGCCAGCAGGGCCAGGGCAGUGACCGCCCCCUGUACCGGGCACUGGUGAGGCCGCACCUCGAACCCUGGGUUCAGUGUCGGGCCCCUCGCUGCAGGAGGGACGUCGAGGGGCUGGAGCGUGUCCAGGGAAGGGCAGCGGGGCUGGG